rnacentral:lncRNA from 1 species
CAAAGCCCAGAGUCUUCCCUGGAGAAGAGUGCUGAUGACGAGGAUUCAUGUCUCACAACCCAGCACACAGGAAUGAUGUCACACAGAGUGUUCAAAUUCUAUCUUCAGCAUAGUGAGCCCAAACAAAACCAAUUCCUUUCAUGCCCUCUACUGGAUAUUUGAAGUUAAAUGUCAAUAACACUGCAAAGUAACCAAAAUAAUGAUACACAUA